ACCUCCGGUUAGAAUGUGAUGUGUUGCUUGUCUGCCUGCUUCACCUCCUGGGACUUUGCUGCAGGUCUUGGUCUCUGAGGCCCCUGCGGUGUCCCCAGGGCCCAGAGCAGAGCUGGGCUUCGAGUCUGAUCAGGGACUAUGUGUGUGGAGUGGAUGGUGCUUGCUUCUUCUGGGGAGAGAGAGACCUGGGCCAGGGGGACAAGGGGACCUAGUGUGACCGGUUUUCCUUCCCUCCGGAGAGGAUCUGAGCGAGUGGACACAGGAUGGAGCUGUGAGGUGGCCUCUAAUAUUGCCAACAUCGACCAGAUCAGACCCAGAGAGAGAGAGAAUUGCUGAGAUACCUUGGCACCUCCGCGGUAGAGAAGUUUGUCAGCCCAGGUCUUCCCACCUACACGGACUGUGCGUUCAUCUGCCACGUAAUUCUUCCUGUCCGAAGAACUGGUUAAACACUCUUGAAGUUUAUUCUGGUCUGUUUCAAAAAGUACCUCUUUCCUUCUUAAGUUCUGCCAAUCCUGGACUUUGUCCCAGGGGCUCAGUAGCCUUUCUGCCUGAGUGUGGAGCUGGAAUUGUGAGAGAGUUUCGUGGAUUUAGACAUGACCUAGGACUUAGAGGGGUCACGAGCAGGGACCGCUCAUCCCAGUGCUCUGGGGCCUCCGGUGUGCAGAGGCGGCGCCUCUGAGCUGAGCAGGGCGAGCCUGGUGUGUCCCUCAUGGUCAACAUGCCCUCUGUCAACUGGGACAAUAUGAGGACUGCAGCCCAGGAGACAGCCCCUCAGAGAGCUCUGAGAAACUGCCCCGAAGAGGCGGGGGGAGAAAGGUCAGCAUGUGUGUGAUUUCGGCUAAGGGGAAAGACAUGCGACCAAGCACACAUCUUUCCAGAAGAUUUCUACCAGUCUUGUGACAGCUUUGCUAGGCACAAGGAACAAUCAUCACCACGAAGAAUUUUAGUGCUUUUCUAGAUGUGGGAACGUACGAGAACUGGGCUCAUAAAAUCAGCUCCUGAGAACGUCUUAACUGUCUGAAGACCUAUCCUGCCAGUUCCCCCACCCUGCUCCCAGCACAGAGGCCUCAUUUCUGCUCUUCACCCUGAACGCCUUUCAUCGGGUGUUGACGGUCAGCAGCUGCAGCCGCACGUGGUUUAAUCCUUGUAGAAGUAGGCGGCAGGUGCCCUUGGCAAGUGCUAGUUUGUAGCUGACACCUCUGAAGUGGGCAGUGGCAGCCCUGAUGGACUUGGAGCCUCCUUGAGGGGUGAGACGGGGGCAGAGGUCAAAGGGGAAAGGAGAGAGGUUAGAAGCUGCUGCGGCUUUGAAGCGGAGGGGAAGAGUUGAGCCGAGGACUGGGCUCAUCUAGAUGCUGGAAGUUCUCGGGUCACGGUUCACGAUUGCUGAAGCCUGGCUUGAAGGAUUCUGAGCAUAGCAUCCCUAGCAUGUGUGCAACUGUAUGAUAGUUUGAAUAGUCUUUGGCAUUGACCUUCUUUGGGAUUGGACACUGACACUGAUCAAUCCAAUGAAAACUGACCAUUUCCAGUCCUGUGGCCACUGCUGAGUUUUUCAAAUUUGCUGACAUAUUGAAUGCAGCAAUAUGGUCUUCCCUUGCAGCUCAGCUGGUAAAGAACCUGCCUGCAAUGCGGGAGACCUGGGUUUGAUCCCUGGGUUGGGAAGAUCCCCUGGAGAAGAGAAAGGCUACCCACUCUACUAUUCUGGCCUAGAGAAUUCCAUGGGGUCCAUGGGGUCGCAAAGAGUCAGACGCGACUGAGCGACUUCCACUUCUUGAAUGCAGCAUUUUAAAAGCAUCCUCUGUGAGGAUUUUAAAUAGCUCAGCUGGAAUUCUGUCACCUCCACUAGCUUUGUUCAUAGUAAUGCUUCCUACGGCUUCUAGCUAGCCUUCGGCAGCAUGUGAACCGAGAACUUCCAGAUGUACAAGCUGGAUUUAGAAAAGGCAGAGGAACCAGAGGUCAAAUUGCCAACAUCCAUUGGAUCAUAGAGAAAGCAAGGGAAUUCCAAAAUACAGCCUUGGACAUCACUUAAUACUUCUACUUCAUUAACUACACUAAAGCCUUUGACUGUGUGGGUCACAACAAACUGUAGAAAAUUCUUAAAGAGAUGGGAGUACUGGGCCAUCUUACCUGCCUUCUGAGAAACCUGUAUGCAGGUCAAGAAGCAACAGUUAGAACUGGACAUGGCACAAUGGACUGGCUCCAAAUGGGAAAGUAGUACGUCAAGGCUGUAUAUUGUCACCCUGCUUAUUUAACUUAUAUGCAGGGUACAUCAUGUGAAGUUCUGGGCUGAAUGAAUCACAAGCUAGAAUUAAGAUUAAUGGGAGAAAUAUCAAUAACCUCAGAUAUGCAGAUGAUACCUCUUUAAUGGCAGAAAAUGUAGAGAAACUAAACAGCCUCUUCAUGAGGAUGAACAAAGAGAGUGAAAAAGCUGGCUUAAAACUUAAUAUUCAAAAAUCUAAGAUCAUGGCAUCCAGUCCCAUCACUUCAUGGCAAAUAGAAGGGGAAAAAGUAAAAGAUUUUUUUGGCGGGGGGCAGGGAGCUCCAAAAUCACUGUGGCCAGUGACUGAAGCCAUGAAAUUAAAAGACGCUUGCUCCGUGAAAGGAAAGCUAUAACAAACCUAGACAGUGUAUUAAAAAGCAGAGACAUCACUUUGCUGACAAAGAUCCAUGUAGUCAACGCCAUGGUUUUUCCAGUAGUCAUAUACAGAUGUGAGAGUUGGACCAUAAAGAAGGCUGAGCACCAAAGAAUAGAUACUUUUGAACUGUGGUGCUGGAGAAAACUCUUGAGAGUCCCUUGGACUUCACAGAGAUCAAGCUAGUCCAUCCUAAAGGAAACCAAGCCUGAAUAUUCAUUGAAGGGACUGAUGCUGAAGCUGAAGCUCCAGUCCUUUGGCCACCUGAUGGGAAAAGACCCUGAUGCUGGGAAAAUUUGAGGGCAGAAGGAGAACGGGGUGGCAGAGGAUGAGAUGGUGAGAUAGCAUCACCGGCUCAAUGGCCAUUAAUUUGAGCAAACUGCAAGAGAUGGUGAAGGACGGGGGGGCCUGUCCUACUGCAGCUCACGGGGUUGCAAAGAGUCAUACACGACUUAGCGACAAACAACAGAGGAUGGAAAAGACCCCCGGGAGGAUCUCGGCCCUGAGAUACCUUGAAUUUAGCCUGUAGGACUCAUUUUGUACUUUUGCACCCUGACCUGUAAGAAUAAAUGUGUAUUGCUUAAA